UAAUAAGUGUUUUAUGGCACUUCUUAAAUCCAUAUCCACCUUGUGUGCAAUGUCAGUCGAUCUUCUUCAUGGAGAUCGACCAAACAUCAACCUUUAUUUUCUAACUCUUUGUCUGAAAAAUAUUAUGAAUAAACAAUUCAAAAUA
rnacentral:misc_RNA from 1 species